GGCCCCUUAGCUCAGCUGGAUAGAGCGUCUGCCUUCUAAGCAGGAUGUCGCAGGUUCGAAUCCUGCAGGGGUCACCA
rnacentral:tRNA from 2 species